CCUACGGGUGGCAGCAGUGAGGAAUAUUGGUCAAUGGCCGGAAGGCUGAACCAGCCAUGCCGCGUGAAGGUCAGUGCCCUAUGGGCGUUAAACUUCUUUUGUGCGGGAGCAAUAAUGGUCACGUGUGGCCAGACGAGAGUACCGUACGAAUAAGCAUCGGCUAACUCCGUGCCAGCAGCCGCGGUAAUACGGGGGAUGCAAGGGUUAUCCGGAUUUAUUGGGUUGAAAGGGUGCGUAGGCUGUGAGGUAAGUCAGCGGGGAAAUGCCCCCGGUCAACGGGGUGAAGUGCCAUUGAUACUGCGUGGCUGGAAUGCGGAUGCGGUGGGAGGAAUGUGUGGUGUAGCGGUGAAAUGCAUAGAUAUCACACAGAACACCGAUUGCGAAGGCAUCUCACGAGUCCGCGAUUGACGCUGAUGCACGAAAGCGUGGGUAUCAAACAGGAUUAGAUACCCUGGUAGUC
rnacentral:rRNA from 1 species